CUCAUAUCUCCUCUUCUUCUACCCUUCUUUCUCCUCCCCCUUCUCCCUCUCCCCCCUCCUCCCUCAUAUCCCCAAUUGUAGCUGCUAUAGGUUCCCUGGUGCUAUUGGUUCUGGUUCUGUUUGUACUUCAUCUUCUGUGGAAGAAGCGCACAGGGAGAUACCAGUCAGCUCCAGUAAAUGAUGUCACCUAUGCUGAGGUCACCAGUAGAGCCUGGACCAAUAAGACUCCAGCCAGCGAACCUGAAGUACUUUACUCCAGUCUGAGGACAAACACUGCAGAAGCUAAAGGAACCACAGACACCACAGAAGAAGUGUAAACAGGAAGCUGAGGACAGA